rnacentral:rRNA from 1 species
UAGGGAAUCUUCGGCAAUGGACGAAAGUCUGACCGAGCAACGCCGCGUGAGUGAAGAAGGUUUUCGGAUCGUAAAACUCUGUUGUUAGAGAAGAACAAGGACGUUAGUAACUGAACGUCCCCUGACGGUAUCUAACCAGAAAGCCACGGCUAACUACGUGCCAGCAGCCGCGGUAAUACGUAGGUGGCAAGCGUUGUCCGGAUUUAUUGGGCGUAAAGCGAGCGCAGGCGGUUUCUUAAGUCUGAUGUGAAAGCCCCCGGCUCAACCGGGGAGGGUCAUUGGAAACUGGGAGACUUGAGUGCAGAAGAGGAGAGUGUAAUUCCAUGUGUAGCGGUGAAAUGCGUAGAUAUAUGGAGGAACACCGGUGGCGAAGGCGGCUCUCUGGUCUGUAACUGACGCUGAGGCUAGAAAGCGUGGGGAGCAAACAGG